GUGGGGAAUAUUGCACAAUGGGCGCAAGCCUGAUGCAGCGACGCCGCGUGAGCGAAGAAGUAUUUCGGUAUGUAAAGCUCUAUCAGCAGGGAAGAAAAUGACGGUACCUGACUAAGAAGCUCCGGCUAAAUACGUGCCAGCAGCCGCGGUAAUACGUAUGGAGCAAGCGUUAUCCGGAUUUACUGGGUGUAAAGGGAGCGUAGACGGAGAGGCAAGUCUGAUGUGAAAGGCGGGGGCUCAACCCCUGGACUGCAUUGGAAACUGUUUUUCUUGAGUGCCGGAGAGGUAAGCGGAAUUCCUAGUGUAGCGGUGAAAUGCGUAAAUAUUAGGAGGAACACCAGUGGCGAAGGCGGCUUACUGGACGGUAACUGACGUUGAGGCUCGAAAGCGUGGGGAGCAAACAGG
rnacentral:rRNA from 1 species